rnacentral:rRNA from 1 species
GAGUUUGAUCGUGGCUCAGAUUGAACGCUGGCGGCAGGCCUAACACAUGCAAGUCGAGCGGAUGACGGGAGCUUGCUCCUUGAUUCAGCGGCGGACGGGUGAGUAAUGCCUAGGAAUCUGCCUGGUAGUGGGGGACAACGUUUCGAAAGGAACGCUAAUACCGCAUACGUCCUACGGGAGAAAGCAGGGGACCUUCGGGCCUUGCGCUAUCAGAUGAGCCUAGGUCGGAUUAGCUAGUUGGUGGGGUAAUGGCUCACCAAGGCGACGAUCCGUAACUGGUCUGGGAGGAUGAUCAGUCACACUGGAACUGAGACACGGUCCAGACUCCUACGGGAGGCAGCAGUGGGGAAUAUUGGACAAUGGGCGAAAGCCUGAUCCAGCCAUGCCGCGUGUGUGAAGAAGGUCUUCGGAUUGUAAAGCACUUUAAGUUGGGAGGAAGGGCAGUAAGUUAAUACCUUGCUGUUUUGACGUUACGACAGAAUAAGCACCGGCUAACUCUGUGCCAGCCGCCGCUA